rnacentral:rRNA from 1 species
CCCUUAGAGUUUGAUCCUGGCUCAGGAUGAACGCUGGCGGCGUGCCUAACACAUGCAAGUCGAACGAAGCAAUUGAAGGAAGUUUUCGGAUGGAAUUCGAUUGACUGAGUGGCGGACGGGUGAGUAACGCGUGGAUAACCUGCCUCACACUGGGGGAUAACAGUUAGAAAUGACUGCUAAUACCGCAUAAGCGCACAGUACCGCAUGGUACGGUGUGAAAAACUCCGGUGGUGUGAAAUGGAUCCGCGUCUGAUUAGCCAGUUGGCGGGGUAACGGCCCACCAAAGCGACGAUCAGUAGCCGACCUGAGAGGGUGACCGGCCACAUUGGGACUGAGACACGGCCCAAACUCCUACGGGAGGCAGCAGUGGGGAAUAUUGCACAAUGGGCGAAAGCCUGAUGCAGCGACGCCGCGUGAGUGAAGAAGUAUUUCGGUAUGUAAAGCUCAUCAGCAGGAAGAAAAUGACG